AGUUUGAUCAUGGCUCAGAACGAACGCUGGCGGCGUGCCUAACACAUGCAAGUCGUACGAGAAAUCCUGGGCAACUGGGAGAGUAAAGUGGCGCACGGGUGAGUAACGCGUGGGUAACCUACCCUUGAAUUGGGGAUAACUCUUCGAAAGGGGAGUUAAUACCGGAUAAUAUUCCAAUUCCCACGGGAGUUGGAAUCGAAGGUGGCCUCUGCAUGCAAGCUAUCGUUUAAGGAUGGGCCCGCGUACCAUUAGCUAGUUGGUAGGGUAAUGGCCUACCAAGGCGACGAUGGUUAGCUGGUCUGAGAGGAUGGCCAGCCACACUGGAACUGAGACACGGUCCAGACUCCUACGGGAGGCAGCAGUGGGGAAUCUUGCGCAAUGGGGGAAACCUUGACGCAGCAACGCCGCGUGGGUGAUGAAGGCCUUCGGGUCGUAAAGCCCUGUCAGGUGGAAAGAAACUUGUGGAUGAUAAUACCAUUCACACUUGACGGUACCACCGGA
rnacentral:rRNA from 1 species